rnacentral:rRNA from 1 species
AACGAACGCUGGCGGCAUGCCUAACACAUGCAAGUCGAACGAGACCUUCGGGUCUAGUGGCGCACGGGUGCGUAACGCGUGGGAACCUGCCCUUAGGUUCGGAAUAACUCCCCGAAAGGGGUGCUAAUACCGGAUCAUGUCUUCGGACCAAAGAUUUAUCGCCUUUGGAUGGGCCCGCGUUGGAUUAGCUAGUUGGUAGGGUAAAAGCCUACCAAGGCGACGAUCCAUAGCUGGUCUGAGAGGAUGAUCAGCCACACUGGGACUGAGACACGGCCCAGACUCCUACGGGAGGCAGCAGUGGGGAAUAUUGGACAAUGGGCGAAAGCCUGAUCCAGCAAUGCCGCGUGAGUGAUGAAGGCCUUAGGGUUGUAAAGCUCUUUUACCCGGGAUGAGAAUGACAGUACCGGGAGAAUAAGCUCCGGCUAACUCCGUG